rnacentral:lncRNA from 1 species
AUAUAUAUCAAACACAAGGCCUGAUCUAUCAAUGACGCAUUCGAUUUCACAAGUUAAGUGAGGAAAAACUCUUCCCAACAAAAUAUCAAUAGUGAAUGCUGCAUCAACAGUGAUUAUUUGCACAAAUUCAUCACUGGUAAGCUCAAUAGUUUCAGCAUAGCAGUUUCUUGCUCUUUUCUCCCUGUCUUUUAUAAACUUCACAAGAUCAUCCAACUUUACCUUUGUCUGCUGCAGAAAAUUCUGUAAAUGUCUCCAUUUGUGCUCUUCCAUGGCACCUAAGCCAGGCCUGCCAUGGUGAAGAGGACCAAUUGAAACUAAUCGAGGCGUGUAGGCUUUCUCAUUAACAUCUCGGAGUCUCUUG